GAACUACUUCCUCCGUUCGGAAUUACUUGUCUCGAAAAUGGAUGUAUCUCUAGAACUAAAAUACAUCUAGAUACAUCCAUUUCGACGACAAGUAAUUCCGAACAGAGGGAGUAGUAC
rfam:Triticum aestivum genome assembly, contig: Triticum_aestivum_CS42_TGACv1_scaffold_405197_5BL